rnacentral:rRNA from 1 species
GAUGAACGCUGGCGGCGUGCCUAAUACAUGCAAGUCGAGCGAACAGACGGGGAGCUUGCUCCUCUGACGUUAGCGGCGGACGGGUGAGUAACACGUGGAUAACCUACCUAUAAGACUGGGAUAACUUCGGGAAACCGGAGCUAAUACCGGAUAAUAUAUUGAACCGCAUGGUUCAAUAGUGAAAGACGGUUUUGCUGUCACUUAUAGAUGGAUCCGCGCCGCAUUAGCUAGUUGGUAAGGUAACGGCUUACCAAGGCAACGAUGCGUAGCCGACCUGAGAGGGUGAUCGGCCACACUGGAACUGAGACACGGUCCAGACUCCUACGGGAGGCAGCAGUAGGGAAUCUUCCGCAAUGGGCGAAAGCCUGACGGAGCAACGCCGCGUGAGCGAUGAAGGUCUUCGGAUCGUAAAACUCUGUUAUUAGGGAAGAACAAAUGUGUAAGUAACUAUGCACGUCUUGACGGUACCUAAUCAGAAAGCCACGGCUAACUACGUG